rnacentral:rRNA from 1 species
ACAUCCAGAGAACUUAGCAGAGAUGCUUUGGUGCCUUCGGGGAACUCUGAGACAGGUGCUGCAUGGCUGUCGUCAGCUCGUGUGUGAAAUGUUGGGUUAAGUCCCGCAACGAGCGCAACCCUUAUCCUUUGUUGCCAGCGGUUCGGCCGGGAACUCAAAGGAGACUGCCGGUGAUAAACCGGGAGGAAGGUGGGGAUGACGUCAAGUCAUCAUGGCCCUUACGGCCAGGGCUACACACGUGCUACAAUGGCGCAUACAAAGAGAAGCGACCUCGCGAGAGCAAGCGGACCUCAUAAAGUGCGUCGUAGUCCGGAUUGGAGUCUGCAACUCGACUCCAUGAAGUCGGAAUCGCUAGUAAUCGUAGAUCAGAAUGCUACGGUGAAUACGUUCCCGGGCCUUGUACACACCGCCCGUCACACCAUGGGAGUGGGUUGCAAAAGAAGUAGGUAGCUUAACCUUCGGGAGGGCGCUUACCACUUUGUGAUUCAUGACUGGGGUGAAGUCGUAACAAGGUAAGCGUAGCGAG